GGGGAGGGGUUAGUUCAUAUGCAGAGUUAUGACAGUGUACAGUUAUGAUAGCGGACUAAAAAGAAUAUUUGGCUUUUUAGAAAGAAGAGAACAAAAAAAUAAAAGAUAAGAAAACUCAGCUACUUAAUAGAAGGCAUCCAGUAUUCAGGUUGUAGACAUUGUGUUGAGACAGGACAGAGAUUGAAUAUAUAUGAACUCUUCUGAAUGAAAUAAUUCAUAUUGCAUCUAUUUCACAUUCACUUCUAUCAAGCUACAUUGAUAUUCAGUCUAUGGAUUCAAUUUAGGACCAUAUGAUCAUCAUAAUUAGAGUUGGGAAAAAACUAUUAGUCUUUCCCCUCCUUCCUUACUUGAAGAACUACAUUUUAGUUUGUAAAUUUAAAAUAAUGCAUAUGCUGUUUAUUUGUUAAGUUAAAUUCACCUGCUGAAUACAAUAUUCAUGUUUAAGGGAUAUUCCAUAUGCAUACCUUCUGCCAUUUACAUUCCAACUGACUCCCCCCCAUUCAUGGGCAUUGUUUUGGUACCCUAGACACUUUGGUGCUUCAACAUAGGAAGUAUAAUUCUAUUGUAUGUUUUUCAUCCUUAUCAUCUGAGCUUGCUUUCUUUCUUUCUUUCUUUCUUUCUUUCUUUCUUUCUUUCUUUCUUUCUUUCUUUCUUUCUUUCUUUCUAAUAGAUGUAGAUCUGAAACAUAACUGUGUUUUUACAGUGAGUUCAUUAGAUUGCUGGAAUAUGUUCUCUAGAGAGGUAGGGUGUUUUCGUGGCUCCUGUUGCUUUGGACAAGUCUCAAUUUCAGACAGGCACAUUCUUCUGUCAAAGGGGGUCCCCAAUCCUUUGGCCUUUGGCCUACUAAGGCCCCAUAAGACUGAUGGGUGAUCUCUAGUGCUGACUGUUACUGGAGAUGAAGUCCAAGAAUGAGAAAACAUUUACUGAUGCUGAAAUAUGAAUUCUAGCUG